ensembl:misc_RNA
CUAUGCGGUCGUCCUGUGGCCUAGUGGCCGCAUGACGCUUCCGGGAGGGCUUAGUGACCAGCGGAUUGUGUCCCUCUCAGGGCU